GGAACAGCAUAGGGCGCA
rnacentral:sRNA from 1 species